GUAGCUCAGAUGGUUAGAGCGGUGGUCUUAUGAGCCACAGGUCACGGGU
rnacentral:tRNA from 1 species